rnacentral:rRNA from 1 species
UACGUAGGGGGCCAGCGUUGCUCGGAAUUACUGGGCGUAAAGGGUUCGUAGGCGGUGCGGCAAGUUGGGAGUGAAAUCUCUGGGCUUAACCCAGAGGCUGCUUCCAAAACUGCCGUGCUAGAGUGCGAGAGAGGCCAGUGGAAUUGCAGGUGUAGCGGUGAAAUGCGUAGAUAUCUGCAGGAACACCCGUGGCGAAGGCGGCUGGCUGGACAGAAACUGACGCUGAUGCGCGAAAGCUAGGGGAGCAAACAGG